ACAACCUCGCGUUAAUCCAGUUAAAUAACAGUUCUCUCAAUCAUUCUUUCACACUCAAAAUAGUAACACUUAAGAUCCUUUAAUCAGCAGCAGAAGUGCGGCUUCUCAUCAAUGCCGUGCGCGAUACUCUGGUUUACCAGGACUUCUUCACUCAGCGGCACAGCCGAAUGGCUCAGUCCCGAGCUAUUGGAAUCGUAGACUUUUAAGCUCGUGAGCAGAUCCCUAUCACCGUUAGAGAGCUUCACUAAGCCAAGUGCCGCUGUAAGAAAGGCUUGGUCUACGCCUUCAUCAGUCAGGGCUGAGAUCUCGUGAUAAGUAGCACCUAUAGAUUCAGCAUAUUUUCGACACUCCUCUGAGUCGACCUUGCGCUUCUCGCUAAGAUCGACCUUGUUGCCAACGAGAAUCAAAACCAUGGGCUCCUCGACGUUGCGCUGGAGCUCUGUUACCCACGACUUGAUCGCCGUAAAGCUGUUGUACUGCGUUAUGUCAAAGACCAGAAAUGCUGCAUUCGCGUUUCUGUAGUACAUCGGCGCCAUCGACCGAAAUCGCUCUUGACCCGCUGUGUCCCACACCUAAAAGGAAAUUGAUCUUUUAUCGGCAUAGAUAAGAAUCAAUAAUGAUUUCAACAUCAGGUAAUGGCUUCAUAAACUUUUAAGUAUACUGCAAUCCAUUAGUUGCAUCAAUGAAUUUGUUAUUGU